UAACUGUGGGCUCUAUGCUUUUGGAGCGAUAAUUAAAAGGAGGGGGUUGGAGCUGCCCAGGGGCUAGGUAACUAUGAGGUUGGAAUAAAGAGUCUUAUCCCUCCAUUCAGCAACUGACUGAUAGCAUGAAACAAAGAUGAAUAUGUAAGAAGGCUGGUUGAAUCAAAGCUUGAAAAUGACACUCAAAUAAAAAACCUUCAGCUCAAAAGCACGAACAUUUCCCACCUGGAUUUUAACGUUGCCUUACCAGAAAACAUCCUUUCAUUUCAAACCAGCUUUUGUUCCCCAUUGUGCUGUAUACCAGUAAAGGACUCUGAAGGCUAAGCAGUUUCAAGACAUCUUGAUGCCUGGAUGAAAGAUGUUUCUUCUGAGUCAGCAGUGUUCUUCUCCAGCAUUUUGCAAGGUGUUUUCUCCUGCUGGCAAAAUCAGAAAUACUAGUAACUUAACAAGGCUUUUAAAGGGGCAACACUUUGGUCUCCAAUGGAAAUUUACUUCCAUUCCACCCUGUUGCGAUCUUAAGGAAGUUGCCAGUGGAAAUCUGUCCACAAUGAAGUAAGUGGCCAGAGUAGCUGGGUACACUGAAUCCUCUAUUUCAAAAGUCAAUGAGGUGUUGUUACUGUGAAUGUAAAACACAUUGGAGACAGAAGGAAAGGAGGAGAAGAUAAUGCGUGUCAUUUUGCAAUCAGUUCAUUAGGAAAAGGAAAAAAAAAAAACAAAACAAAAAAACCCAAAAAG
rnacentral:lncRNA from 1 species